UGGGGAAUAUUGCACAAUGGGCGCAAGCCUGAUGCAGCGACGCCGCGUGGGGGAUGACGGCCUUCGGGUUGUAAACUCCUUUCGCUAGGGACGAAGCUUUUUGUGACGGUACCUAGAUAAGAAGCACCGGCUAACUACGUGCCAGCAGCCGCGGUAAUACGUAGGGUGCGAGCGUUGUCCGGAAUUACUGGGCGUAAAGGGCUCGUAGGUGGUUUGUCGCGUCGUCUGUGAAAUUCCGGGGCUUAACUCCGGGCGUGCAGGCGAUACGGGCAUAACUUGAGUACUGUAGGGGUAACUGGAAUUCCUGGUGUAGCGAUGAAAUGCGCAGAUAUCAGGAGGAACACCGAUGGCGAAGGCAGGUUACUGGGCAGUUACUGACGCUGAGGAGCGAAAGCAUGGGUAGCGAACAGG
rnacentral:rRNA from 1 species